GCCGUCGGUGCCGCAUGUCUGCACUCUGCUGCUGCAGUGUUUUUUCCUGGGGUAGUGUUUUGAGUUUCGGAGUUCCGUGGCCCAGGCCAUAUCCGUGGGUGGGGAUAUGUGCUGUAGUCUCCUGGAUAGUGGGAUCGAUUCCUGCAAAGGAACGUCGGUUGCCCCUGACUGCGGUUUGGGACAUCAGGCAGGAGGUGUCAGAGGUUUUGAG